GUUGCAGUUCCUGGAAUUAAGUUGACUGUGUAGCCUGUUAGGGGAAAGGCUUGAGCAUUGCAUACUAAGUCAGCAACUUGAUUCCAGCAAUUGCGGCCC
rnacentral:pre_miRNA from 13 species